ensembl:lncRNA SUCLG2-DT SUCLG2 divergent transcript
GGCUCACGGAGCUGACGCCCUCCGCAGAGAACCGUGGUCUAGUCCUGCGGUCACGAGGCCUAUCUGGGACAGUGGUGUUUGAGCUGAGACUUUAACGAAUAGAGACAGGUGAGGUUCCUGCAGCCCAGGGCUUCAGCGUGAACAACCCCAGAAGGAAAAAGAGUGCUGUUGUUAAAGGUAUCUGGCAUCAUGGACCCAACCAUCACCAGGAGUUUCUCACUUCAUCUCUGCUUUAUUGUAGUAUAAUUUGCAUACAAUAAUGGCACACAUUUAAUGUGCACAGUGUGAUAAAUUUUGACAUAUGUAUACAUCCAUGAAGCCGGCACCACAAUCAAGAUAAUGAACAUCUCGCUUACCCCAGAAGUUUCCUGUGCCCUGUCACUCCUCCGUAUUCCUCCAUCCUCAGGAUUUCAUCAAAUGGUCUGCUGCACUGUGCUGGAAUUUUGAACUCCCCAGAGUAGUAAACAACAUCUUCUCAAGGGUAUACAAGUCAUCAGAUAGAGAAAACACCCAUUAUAGAGCUGUGGAGCCCUUACGAUAUAGUGCUAUGCUGCAACAAAUUAGACAGAAGAGUAUUUGUUGAAUAAUAAAAGAGUCUCACUCUAUUGCCCAGGCUGGAGUGCAGUGGCAUGAUCUCGGUACACUGCAAGCUCUGUCUCCUGAGUUCAAGCGAUUCUCAUGCCUCAGCCUCCCGAGUAGCUGGGAUUACAGUUUUCCAAUAAUAACAUAGAAAAAAGGAAGAAUUUGAGAGUUUCUCAGAUUAGGCAAUUCCUUGAAGAAUCUGAGAACACAGAAGCUCCCCUCCCUACUUUCCAUGAUUGAAAUCAGUGAUUCAUUGGUUUCUUUGUGUGGGCUUUUGAAAGAUCAUUAGAAACCAACCUGAAGAUCAUGAGAUUCUUGUGGACACAGGAGCAAUGAGUGGCAAUACAGUGCUUUCUAAUGCAACCUACUUUAAAAGGUAAACAGAUAAAAGAAAAUACCGAAGACUGAAAAUGCAGAAAAUUCAACCAUGCAGCCCAUUCCAAAUUAAAUAUGUCUUCCUCUCUAAUUCCUCUCUUCUAGCAGAGAAGGGGAGAUGAGCUAUGACUCCAUGCUCAUGCUUAACAAAAUUGUGUUAGAUUGGUGCAAAAGUAAUUGCAGUUUUUGCCAUUUAAAAGUAAUUGCAAUGUUAUCUCCUAGAAUUUUUAUAGUUUCAGGUCUUAAGUUUAAGUCCUUAAUCCAUCUUGAGCUGAUUUUUUGUAUAGGGCUGGACGUUCGCUUAGGCAAGGAUUUCAUGACCAACAACCUGAAAGGAAAUGCAAUAAAAACAAAGAUAAAUAGCUGGAACCUAGUUAAACUAAAGAGCUUUUGCAUGGCAAAAAGAAGAGUCAGCAGAGCAAACAGAUAACAAACAGAGUGGGAGAAAACCUUCAUAAUCUGUACAUCUGACAAAGUGCUAAUAUCCAGAAUCUACAAUGAACUCAAACAAAUCAGUAAGAAAAAAACAAUUCCAUCAGAAAGUGGCUAAGGAUAUGAAUAGGCAAUUCUCAAAAGAAGAUAUACAAAUGGCCAACAAACAUAGGAAAAAACGCUCAACAUCACAAAUGAUCAGGGAAAUGCAAAUCAAAACCACAAUGCGAUACCACCUCACUCCUGCAAGAAUGGCCAUAAUUAAAAAAAAAAAUCAAAAAACAGUAGAUGUUAGCAUGGAUGCGGUGAACAGGGAACACUUCUACACUGCUGGUGGGAAUGUAAACUAGUAAAGCCACUAUGGAAAACAGUGUGGAGAUUCCUUGAAGAAUUAAAAGUAGAACUACCAUUUGAUCCAGCAAUCCCACUACUGGGUAUCUACCCAGAGGAAAAGAAGUCACUAUUCAAAAAAGAUACUUGCACACACAUGUUUAUAGUGGCACAAUUCAAAAUAGCAAAAUCGUGGAACCAACCCAAAUGCCCAUCAAUCAACAAGUGGAUAAAGAAACUGUGGUAUGUAUAUAUAAUGGAAUACUAUGCAGCCAUAAAAAGGAAUGAAUUAACAGCAUUUGCAGUGACCUGAAUGAGAUUGGAAACUUAUUCUAAGUAAAGUAACUCAGGAAUGGAAAACCAAACAUCAUAUCUUCUCACAGAUAUAUGGGAACUAAGUUAUGAGGACUCAAAGGCAUAAGAAUGAUACAAUGGACUUUGGGGACUUGGGGGGAAGGGUGAGAAGUGGGUGAGGUAUAAAACACUACAAAUAUGCUGCGGUGUAUACUGCGCAGGUGAUGGGUGCACGAAAAUCUCACAAAUCAUCCCUAAAGAACUUACUCAUGUAACCAAAUACCAUCUAUACCUCAAUAACUUAUGGGGAAAAAAGUAAUUGCAAAAACUGCAAUUACCUUUGCAUGAACCAAAGGCCUACUUUGGAGAGUCAGAGGAAUUCUUAACCAUAAUUCAACCAAGACAUACGGUAUGUGCCUUCUCUUUGGUGGAACAGUGAAUAUACAGGCUACUAGCCUGUACUGAGUGUUUCAGCCAAAACACAUUCUUUUAAAAGUCACAGUUUUAAGUGACAAUAUCCCAAUGAAAAUACAAAUUAAAAAAUGCAUUGGCAUAUCUAUAUUCCCUCCCAAAAUAACACACAUUUGGAAUAUAUAAAGAACUCUUAAAAGUCAAUGAGAAAAAAAGCAAUAGCUCAGUAGAAAAGUGGGAAGAAGACUUGGACACUUCAGAAAAGAGAAUAUAUUAAAAUAGUCCAUAAACAGAAAUAAAAGGUGCUCAACUUUAUGAGUCAUCUGGGAUAUGUAGAUUAAAACCACAGUGCAAUAUUAUACCACCCCUACCAGAAUAACUAAAAAGAGUAAGUUGGAAAAUACUCAGUGCUGAUGAGAAAGUGGGGUAAUUGAAACUCUUAUACAUCAUUCUAGGAACAUCCACUUAGGAAAACAACUUGGCAGUGUCUAAUAAAGUCCAGUAUAUGCAUUCCCUAUAACCCAGAAUUUUUACUCUCAGGUGUAUACCCAACAGAAAUGCAGGUGUGUGUUCACCAGAAAUCAUGUUCAAGAAUGUUCAUGGUAUCACUAGUCAUGAGGCACAAAAACUGGAAAUGUUCAUCAACAAUGAGUAGGAUAAAUAAGUUGUGUUAAUAUUUAUACAAUUGAAAAUUAUACAGCAGAAAGAAUAAAUAAUCUAAACCUACACACAACAGCAUGAAGAAAUCUCAUGAGUGGAAUGUUAGAUCAUAACCUAAAUAAACUUACCUGGAGCAGGUGCCACUGAAGCCAUAAAAUGGUAGGAUGAAUUGCUGGAGGCUGACUAUGGACUAGCUUGACAGUAAAAAAUUUGGGGAGGUCCAUUCUGAAGGAGGCCCCUCACACUUUCUUGGAUUUUAUCUUCAGGAAGCCCACCAGAUUUUCAUGGUGAAGAUCUUAGAAAACAUCUCUCAUAUCUUGGUCAGUUGGGGGAAAGUAGCAUUUUGAAAUAAUCCUAGAGCAUUCUCCAUAGCCAAGGUUUACUCCUCAACGGAAACAACUUUACCAGAGCCUUAGUUGACCAUGGAGAAGGGCAGUUAGCCCCCUACAUCCCUCUCUAGCUUUCUUGUGUUACUUAGUGGAAGGAAAAAAAGGAUAAGAAACACUUCUGAAGUCCAAUUCAGGGACUUGAGCCCACUAAAAGACUGAAAUAUACUUACCUCCUCCACACCUUACCACCACAUCAACACAGCUCCAGAAUAAUCACAAUGGGUUACAAUGGAAAGAGCUGCAAAACAUAGACUCUAUUUAAGAAGGAAUUCUUAGGGAAAUCCAAUGUGGAGAAAACAAAGACACUGAGGAAACUAAAGUCUCUGGCAUCUAUAGCUAUGGAAAACAUGAAGCACAACCCAUCUGCUAGGCAGAUUGACAUAAAACCUCAUACUAAAGACCUAUUUUCCUCAGUUCUCAU